UUCUCCUGGUGACGACAGAGUCCGGCAGUGAUGACCAACUGCACUAGGUCGGAGAGAAUUGGCAGUAUCACGUGACACGGCUAGAAUCGGAGGCCCAGUUGUCCAGACAGGAAGGUCAAUUCGCUAUCCGACAGGGGACUAGCGAGAUCGUGUUAAACACGAUAAGAGGGCUUUAAUUCUCCACUGGAUUACUCUAACCGAAGCUAAAAUACGAGGCGGAAGAGGAGAGGAAAGGAGAAAACCUUUUAAGAGCAGUAUUAAAGAAAACACACGCAAAUACUUCUCCAACCUCGUUUAGCACAAACAAGACUAUUUUAAAAAGCGAAUGAAUUAUAUAAAAAUCACAACCUAUUGAAAAAGAUUUGAACUGAAUUUUACUCUCAUUCUUCUCCAUUAUUCGUGCCUUUACCAACGAAGUCUCGAAUGUAUUAAUACUUCUCGUAACAAGGGAAAAAAAAAUGAAAAAUUACUCUUCUAGAAAUUUAUCUCUUCCGAGUUGGUUUUCUGAC